UGAAUGAACACUUGCAUGAAUGAACAAAGGCCCCUGCUUCCAAGAAGCCUCCCUUGAUGGGUGAGGGGCAGGACUAUAGCUCUUUCUUCUCAAGGUGACUAUGCUUGGAGCUAAGUGGAGCAUCCAGUUGUGGAUUUUCAUUGUGGACAAUUUUUAGUGGUUAAGAGAAUGUACAGCUUUGGCAAGAUUCAUUCUCAGAGAUGCUGAACUGACCUGCUUGCUCCUCUGCUUCCUGAUGCUGCCCAAAACAGCUUUGGGGGGUUACUGCGGAUUCCAGAUCAUCUGCCUCAACUAGACUUUCAGACAGAUACAGUUAGAGCUUCAGUCAAGCCCUGAGCCUUCUAAACAUAAAGAGACGAGAUAACAGAUGCUAAGGCUAGCUUUUUAAAUUCUGACCCCUGUUGUGGUUUGCCCGGGAGUUAUCUGUAUUUUGAUGCUAAUUCCACUGCCCCAAAGACAGUUGCCUAGUCAGUACUCAGGACUCAGGUGACUUCACCAGAACCUUCUUCCCCAUUGAAUUUGUAAAAUGCAGGUGAGAGCAGGUACAGAAUAGAAGGGGGCCUGUCAUUGGACGAGAAGGAAGGAUGGGCGGGAGAAAAGUUUGAGAGAAGAGGAGAAGAGAGGAGGAGAAGACAGAGUAGCCGCUGGACAACAUGGAGGCUGACGUUACGAUACCUUUACAGGUUGUUAUGAAUGUUCUGAAGGGAUGGAUGUGUACCGGGCUUUGUAUGUUUAGGUGGGCAAUUAUAUCUUAUCAACUGGA